UGGGGAAUAUUGCACAAUGGGCGCAAGCCUGAUGCAGCCAUGCCGCGUGUAUGAAGAAGGCCUUCGGGUUGUAAAGCACUUUCAGCGGGGAGGAAGGCGAUAAGGUUAAUAACCUCAUCGAUUGACGUUACCCGCAGAAGAAGCACCGGCUAACUCCGUGCCAGCAGCCGCGGUAAUACGUAGGGCGCGAGCGUUGUCCGGAAUUAUUGGGCGUAAAGGGCUUGUAGGCGGCUUGUUGCGCCUGCUGUGAAAACGCGGGGCUUAACUUCGCGCGUGCAGUGGGUACGGGCAGGCUUGAGUGUGGUAGGGGUGACUGGAAUUCCAGGUGUAGCGGUGGAAUGCGCAGAUAUCUGGAGGAACACCGAUGGCGAAGGCAGGUCACUGGGCCAUUACUGACGCUGAGGAGCGAAAGCAUGGGUAGCGAACAGG
rnacentral:rRNA from 1 species